rnacentral:tRNA from 1 species
AGGGUUAUAAUUUAAAAAAAAUAUUUAAUUUGCAGUUAAAAAUUAUUGAAAUUUCAAUUUACCUUA